AGGCGGUUUGUUAAGUCAGGAUGUGAAAUGCCCCGGGCUCAACCUGGGAACUGCAUUUGAAACUGGCAAGCUAGAGUCUCGUAGAGGGGGGUAGAAUUCCAGGUGUAGCGGUGAAAUGCGUAGAGAUCUGGAGGAAUACCGGUGGCGAAGGCGACCCCCUGGACGAAGACUGACGCUCAGGUGCGAAAGCGUGGGGAGCAAACAGGAUUAGAUACCCUGGUAGUCCACGCUGUAAACGAUGUCGAUUUGGAGGUUGUGCCCUUGAGGCGUGGCUUCCGGAGCUAACGCGUUAAAUCGACCGCCUGGGGAGUACGGCCGCAAGGUUAAAACUCAAAUGAAUUGACGGGGGCCCGCACAAGCGGUGGAGCAUGUGGUUUAAUUCGAUGCAACGCGAAGAACCUUACCUACUCUUGACAUCCAGAGAACUUUCCAGAGAUGGAUUGGUGCCUUCGGGAACUCUGAGACAGGUGCUGCAUGGCUGUCGUCAGCUCGUGUUGUGAAAUGUUGGGUUAAGUCCCGCAACGAGCGCAACCCUUAUCCUUUGUUGCCAGCGGUUCGGCCGGGAACUCAAAGGAGACUGCCAGUGAUAAACUGGAAGAAGGUGGGGAUGACGUCAGUCAUCAUGGCCCUUACGAGUAUGGCUACACACGUGCUACAAUGGCAUAUACAAAGAGAAUCGACCUCGCGAGAGCAAGCGGACCUCAUAAAGUAUGUCGUACUCCGGAUUGGAGUCUGCAACUCGACUCCAUGAAGUCCGAAUCGCUAGUAAUCGUAGAUCA
rnacentral:rRNA from 1 species